GACGAACGCUGGCGGCGUGCUUAACACAUGCAAGUCGAACGGAAAGACCCUGCUUUUGUGGGGUGCUCGAGUGGCGAACGGGUGAGUAACACGUGAGUAACCUGCCCUUGACUUUGGGAUAACUUCAGGAAACUGGGGCUAAUACCGGAUAGGAGCUCCUGCUGCAUGGUGGGGGUUGGAAAGUUUCGGCGGUUGGGGAUGGACUCGCGGCUUAUCAGCUUGUUGGUGGGGUAGUGGCUUACCAAGGCUUUGACGGGUAGCCGGCCUGAGAGGGUGACCGGCCACAUUGGGACUGAGGUACGGCCCAGACUACUACGGGAGGCAGCAGUGGGGAAUAUUGCACAAUGGGCGGAAGCCUGAUGCAGCAACGCCGCGUGCGGGAUGACGGCCUUCGGGUUGUAAACCGCUUUCGCCUGUGACGAAGCGUGAGUGACGGUAAUGGGUAAAGAAGCACCGGCUAACUACGUG
rnacentral:rRNA from 1 species